CCUACGGGAGACAGCAGUGGGGAAUAUUGCACAAUGGGGGAAACCCUGAUGCAGCGACGCCGCGUGAGUGAAGAAGUAUUUCGGUACGUAAAGCUCUAUCAGCAGGGAAGAAAAUGACGGUACCUGACUAAGAAGCCCCGGCUAACUACGUGCCAGAAGCCGCGGUAAUACGUAGGGGGCAAGCGUUAUCCGGAUUUACUGGGUGUAAAGGGAGCGUAGACGGCAGCGCAAGUCUGGAGUGAAAUCCCAUGGCUUAACCAUGGAACUGCUUUGGAAACUGUGCAGCUAGAGUGCAGGAGAGGUAAGCGGAAUUCCUAGUGUAGCGGUGAAAUGCGUAGAUAUUAGGAGGAACACCAGUGGCGAAGGCGGCUUACUGGACUGUAACUGACGUUGAGGCUCGAAAGCGUGGGGAGCAAACAGGAUUAGAUACCCUUGUAGUC
rnacentral:rRNA from 1 species